rnacentral:rRNA from 1 species
GUUGGUGGGGUGAUGGCCUACCAAGGCGACGACGGGUAGCCGGCCUGAGAGGGCGACCGGCCACACUGGGACUGAACACGGCCCAGACUCCUACGGGAGGCAGCAGUGGGGAAUAUUGCACAAUGGGCGAAAGCCUGAUGCAGCGACGCCGCGUGAGGGAUGACGGCCUUCGGGUUGUAAACCUCUUUCAGCAGGGAAGAAGCGAAAGGGACGGUACCUGCAGAAGAAGCCUUCUUGAAUAACUACGUGCCAGCAGCCGCGGUAAUACGUAGGGCGCAAGCGUUGUCCGGAAUUAUUGGGCGUAAAGAGCUCGUAGGCGGCUUGUCACGUCGGAUGUGAAAGCCCGGGGCUUAACCCCGGGUCUGCAUUCGAUACGGGCUAGCUAGAGUGUGGUAGGGGAGAUCGGAAUUCCUGGUGUAGCGGUGAAAUGCGCAGAUAUCAGGAGGAACACCGGUGGCGAAGGCGGAUCUCUGGGCCAUUACUGACGCUGAGGAGCGAAAGCGUGGGGAGCGAACAGGAUUAGAUACCCUGGUAGUCCACGCCGUAAACGUUGGGAAACUAGGUGUUGGCGACAUUCCACGUCGUCGGUGCCGCAGCUAACGCAUUAAGUUCCCCGCCUGGGGAGUACGGCCGCAAGGCUAAAACUCAAAGGAAUUGACGGGGGCCCGCACAAGCAGCGGAGCAUGUGGCUUAAUUCGACGCAACGCGAAGAACCU